GGGGAUUUAGCUCAGUGGUAGAGCGCUUGCCUAGCAAGUGCAAGACUCUGGGUCCAGUCCUCA
rfam:Rattus norvegicus chromosome 8, whole genome shotgun sequence.